rnacentral:rRNA from 1 species
UACGAAGGGGGCUAGCGUUGCUCGGAAUGACUGGGCGUAAAGGGCGCGUAGGUGGCCCGACAAGUCUGUGGUGAAAGCUCGACGCUCAACGUCGAGUCGGCCAUAGAUACUGUUGGGCUGGAGCACUGUAGAGGCUCAUGGAAUUCCGGGUGUAGCGGUGGAAUGCGUAGAGAUGUGGAGGAACACCAGUGGCGAAGGCGACUCUUUGGCCUGUAACUGACGCUGAGGCGCGAAAGCGUGGGGAGCAAACAGG